rnacentral:rRNA from 1 species
UACGAAGGUGGCUAGCGUUGUUCGGAAUUACUGGGCGUAAAGCGCGCGUAGGCGGACCUGCAAGUCGGGGGUGAAAGCCCGAGGCUCAACCUCGGAACUGCCUUCGAUACUGCGGGUCUCGAGUCCGGGAGAGGUGAGUGGAAUUCCUAGUGUAGAGGUGAAAUUCGUAGAUAUUAGGAAGAACACAAGUGGCGAAGGCGGCUCACUGGCCCGGUACUGACGCUGAGGCGCGAAAGCGUGGGGAGCAAACAGG